GAAGUACCUCUUAAGCAACAGUAUUUCUCCGUUGCUCUUGUUUCUAUUCUCGACUAAUCGCUUAGUUUAGUUUCUGUCUUAUUCGUUCUCAUAUAUGUUGGUUUUCCUAAUGUACACACACACACACACACACACACACACACACACACACACACACACACACACACACAGAGUACCAUCAACGCUUACACAUAUAUCGACCUGAAGAAACUGGGGCUGUUUACAAAUAUUUACCGACACUGAUUGCUCUGAAGGGAAGGGGAGGGAAGGGAAGAGAAGAACAGGGGAGAGAAGGUAGAAUGAAGGAAAGGAGAGGACAGGAAGAACAGGGAAGGGAAGGUAGAGGGAAGGAAAGGAACAGGAAGAACAGGGAAGGGAAGGUAGAGGGAAGGAAAGGAGAGGACAGGAAGAACAGGGAAGGGAAGGUAGAGGGAAGGAAAGGAACAGGAAGAACAGGGAAGGGAAGGUAGAGGGAAGGAAAGGAACAGGAAGAACAGGGAAGGGAAGGUAGAGGGAAGGAAAGGAACAGGAAGAACAGGGAAGGGAAGGUAGAGGGAAGGAAAGGACAGGAAGAACAGGGAAGGGAAGGUAGAGGGAAGGAAAGGAACAGGAAGAACAGGGAAGGGAAGGUAGAGGGAAGGAAAGGAGGCGACAGGAAGAACAGGGAAGGGAAGGUAGAGGGAAGGAAAGGAACAGGAAGAACAGGGAAGGGAAGGUAGAGGGAAGGAAAGGACAGGACAGGAAGAACAGGGAAGGGAAGGUAGAGGGAAGGAAAGGAACAGGAAGAACAGGGAAGGGAAGGUAGAGGGAAGGAAAGGACAGGAAGAACAGGGAAGGGAAGGUAGAGGGAAGGAAAGGACAGGAAGAACAGGGAAGGGAAGAUAGAGGGAAGGAAAGGACAGGAAGAACAGGGAAGGGAAGGUAGAGGGAAGGAAAGGACAGGAAGAACAGGGAAGGGAAGGUAGAGGGAAGGAAAGGAAAGGACAGGAAGAACAGGGAAGGGAAGGUAGAGGGAAGGAAAGGACAGGAAGAACAGGGAAGGGAAGGUAGAGGGAAGGAAAGGAAAGGACAGGAAGAACAGGGAAGGGAAGGUAGAGGGAAGGAAAGGACAGGAAGAACAGGGAAGGGAAGGUAGAGGGAAGGAA